AUUGAACGCUGGCGGUAUGCUUAACACAUGCAAGUCGAACGGCAGCACAGUAUGUAGCAAUACAUAUGGGUGGCGAGUGGCGGACGGGUGAGUAACGCGUAGGAAUCUACCCUAAAGCGGGGGACAACCCGAGGAAACUCGGGCCAAUACCGCAUAAUCUCGAAAGAGUAAAGCUGGGGCAACCUGGCACUUUAGGAGGAGCCUGCGUCCGAUUAGCUAGUUGGGGAGGUAAAGGCGCACCAAGGCGAUGAUCGGUAGCUGGUCUGAGAGGAUGAUCAGCCACACUGGGACUGAGACACGGCCCAGACUCCUACGGGAGGCAGCAGUGGGGAAUAUUGGACAAUGGGGGCAACCCUGAUCCAGCAAUGCCGCGUGUGUGAAGAAGGCCUUAGGGUUGUAAAGCACUUUAGUUGGGGAAGAAGGAUAGUUGUUUAAGAGAUGAUUAUUUUGACGGUACCCAAAGAAUAAGCACCGGCUAACUCUGUGCCAGCCGCCGCAGUAA
rnacentral:rRNA from 1 species